AUGGACCGCUUUGUUCUCCUCCUCCUCCCGCUCUUGGCCUUGGCCAUGGCCUCCCAGCUGGCCGCACCGUGCGGCGCCGCUCAGGCGCAAGCGCAGCCGGUCUACGACACGGACGGCCACGAGCUAACGAUCGACAGCCUCUACCACAUAAUGCUACCAGAGAACGGCAACACGAGUGGCCGCUGUCUCAGCGCCGGCACUUGGUGGGCUUACGACUGCCCUCUGCACGCGGUCGCUCCGCGGUGCGGCGGGCGGUCCGGGUACCUGGGCAAGCCCGUGAUGAUCCAGGCGGCGGAUGCGGGCGCCGGCUACGCCCCCCGCCUCUCGAACGACGUUGUUUUGGCCUUCAACAGGACAUAUAACCGAUGCAUGAUGUUUCUCCAGUGGCGCAUCGAGGGUGAAUUCGAAACGCAUCAGCAACACGUGACGGUCGGCCACUUUAUAGGGGCGCCGGCGACUGUGACAACAGAGUGCGCGCCUGGAGUCAUAUGCAGGGAGCAGUCGUACCGGUUUCGUGUCGAGAGGCAUGGCACAGGGUACAAGCUGGUAUCGUGCUACAAGCCGCCAUGCCGUGAUGUGGUAUUGUACGAGUACCGCGGUGAGCAGUGGCUGACCAUACGGAAAGAAAAGGAUGGGCGCGAGCCUUUCAUGGUCGUGUUCAAGAAGUGCCCUUUUCCGUGCGUGGACCGCCGAAGGCCUCCUGCGUUCAUGUCUAACUAG
rnacentral:rRNA from 1 species